rnacentral:piRNA from 1 species
UGUAAUGAUGCUGGGGUGGGGAAGCCGAGU